rnacentral:rRNA from 1 species
GACGAACGCUGGCGGCGUGCUUAACACAUGCAAGUCGAACGGAAAGGCCCUGCUUUUGUGGGGUGCUCGAGUGGCGAACGGGUGAGUAACACGUGAGUAACCUGCCCUUGACUUUGGGAUAACUUCAGGAAACUGGGGCUAAUACCGGAUAGGAGCUCCUGCUGCAUGGUGGGGGUUGGAAAGUUUCGGCGGUUGGGGAUGGACUCGCGGCUUAUCAGCUUGUUGGUGGGGUAGUGGCUUACCAAGGCUUUGACGGGUAGCCGGCCUGAGAGGGUGACCGGCAAAAUGGGGACUGGGAUACGGCCCGGAUUCCUAGGGAGGGAAGAGGUGGGGAUUAUUGCACAAUGGGCGAAGGCCUGAUGCGGCAACGCGGGGGGCGGGAGACGGGCCUUCGGGUGGUAAACGGCUUUGGCCUGUGCCGAGGGGGGGGUGACGGUAAUGGGUAAGGAAGCACCGGCUACUUACGU